CCAUCUUUUGAAUUCUGCAAUAUAAUCUUCAACAGGUCUAUUCUUUUGAUGUAAUGUUCUGAUGGUUAAAUCAGCAGUAGUUUGUUUAAAAGGAUCUUCAUAUAAUAAAGACAUAGCUUCAAAGAACUCAUCCAAUGAAUCCAAUAUGGGAUCAUCAUUUUCCAAAAAGGAAUGGGCCCAUGCCAUAGGUUCACCUCUUAAAAAAGAGAUCACUGAACAGACUUUGGAUCUUUCGGUGGGAUAAGAUCUAGGUUUUAAAGCAAUUAGUAGUUUGCAAGAAUUCAAAAACUCUCUGUACUUUGUUCUAUCUCCAUAAAAUUUUUCUGGAUUACAGACAGCAGGAUCACCAGCCGAUUGAAGAGCGGCAUGAGGAAGAUGACCUUGAAUGUCUCUAACAUAGGUUAAUAUUCUCUCAUUUGUAAUUUGCAGUUCCUGUAACCCAUGAGCAAUCGUAUCCACUCUAUUGGUUAGGGCAGAAACUUGAGAAUUAAUAUCUGCUGGUUCCAUUGAAGGCUGAAUUAUUCUGUGAUAUAUUCUGUGAUAUAUUCUGUGAUACUUGUUUUAAUUGGAACUCAACUGCAGCAUUUCUUGGUUGCAACAACAAUAAGGUUUACCUCCGUUUAUAUUGGUAUGAAACUAUGGUCACUGUACCUUUAAAUAUUCAUGUAGGUAAAAUUAGGCUUUGUAGCAAUCCCUUAUGAGUAAGAGGAAUAAUUAGACAAAGUGACACUUUAGUAAGUUUUAGAUACUGUGUAAUAUAAAUAAUAGUAAUUGACUUGUUUGGUAAAAGUAUUACUUAACUUAAAGGCAGUUCUGGCACUGGAAGGGUUAAUUCACCCAAUGAAGGAGAAAUUAGAAGUCCGUUUCAACAAGCUGAGAACUAGGAGUGGAGAGUGGGGAAGUCCGUUUUAACAAGCCAAGGUCUGGGAGUGGAGAAGGUAGAAUUCAGAGUUACAAGCCGAGGUCUAGGAGUGGAGAAGGUAGAAAUCCGUUUACAAGCCGAGGUCGAGAAGUGGAGAAGGUAGAAAUCCGUUUACAAGCCGAGGUCGAGAAGUGGAGAAGGUAGAAAUCCGUUUACUAGCCGAGGUAUAGAAGUGGAGCAGCUGAUCUUCAUGCAGCACCUCUGCGAAUAAUUCAGCCCUUUGAAUCUGGCGCGGUCCUCCUAAGUAUCGUGGAGGGACCGCGUCAGAGAAAGGGGCGGGGCUGAACGCCGUGAACCCGGAAGUGGGUUCCGGCGAAAAAUAACAUGCCAUGCUAUACCUGACACCCAG